UUUCCGUAGGUGAACCUGCGGAUGGAUCAUUAAUGAGUUGUCAUGGGGUUCGAUGCUGGCAGCCAAUUUUUGGAUGCAUGUGCUUGCCCUAACAAUCAUCUUCCAAACACCUGUGCACAUUUUUGAGGGAGUCUUGAGUUGGUUGCCGCUCUUGGGUGAUUUUCUCACAUUCCCUUAAAUCAUUAUACGCUAUUAACAAUGUUGAACGUGCUCUGUGCCGCAAGGCUAUUAAUAUAAUACAACUUUUAACAACGGAUCUCUUGGCUCUC
rnacentral:misc_RNA from 1 species